GAUGAACGCUAGCUACAGGCUUAACACAUGCAAGUCGAGGGGUAACGAGUGGAAAGCUUGCUUUCCUUGUCGACGACCGGCGCACGGGUGAGUAACUCGUAUCCAACCUGCCCCCAACUAGGGAAUAACCUUGCGAAAGUAAGACUAAUACCCUAUAAUUUCCUCAGAUGUCAUCUGACGAGGAAUAAAGAUUUAUCGGUUGUGGAUGGGGAUGCGUCUGAUUAGCUUGUUGGCGGGGUAACGGCCAACCAAGGCCACGAUCAGUAGGGGUUCUAAGAGGAAGGUCCCCCACAUUGGAACUGAGACACGGUCCAAACUCCCACGGGAGGCAGCAGUGAGGAAUAUUGGUCAAUGGGCGGAAGCCUGAACCAGCCAAGUAGCGUGCAGGAUGACGGCCCUAUGGGUUGUAAACUGCUUUUAUACAGGAAUAAAGUUAGCCACGUGUGGUUAUUUGUAGGUACUGUAUGAAUAAGGACCGGCUAAUUCCGUGCCAGCCGCCGCAGUAA
rnacentral:rRNA from 1 species